rnacentral:misc_RNA from 1 species
CCUCUCCCACCUCCAGUUCCCGUCUACAAGCCGCCGGUCCCCAUCUACAAGCCCCCGGUCCCCGUCUACAAGCCACCAAUGAAAAAACCAUGUCCACCACCCGUUCCGAUCUACAAAAAACCUCUCCCACCUCCGGUUCCAGUGUACAAGAAGCCAAAUCCACCACCCGUCCCGGUCUAUAAAAAACCUCUCCCGCCUCCUGUUCCAGUCUACACGAAGCCACUUCCACCACCCACUCCGGUCUACAAGAAGCCACUUCCACCAUCAGUACCUUACUAUAAGCCUCCAGUCAUACCAUACUCCCCUCCCUACUACAAGAAACCAUUGCCUCCUCUGCCCCAGUUCCCCCCCAUCUACAAAAAGCCGCUACCCCCUCUCCCCAAGUUCCCCCCUAUCUACUAUAAGCCGCUGCCCCCUCUCCCAAAGUUUCCCCCUAUCUACUAUAAGCCGCUGCC